CGGAUGUUGUUUUGCUUUGCUGUGUUCUAAUGUGAAGUGUUUAUUUAUUUUUGUAUCGCAUGUUUUGGUUAUAUCUGUCAAUUUGUCCUGGAGAGACUCCGCCCUUUUCCCAUUUACUAAUUUGACACACCUGAGAGGAGAGCAGCGGGCGGUCAUUUAGGGAGAGUGCUCAGAGACACGGGAGGGCUGGUGAAGGUUGGCGUGGAGCGGUGAACGAAGAUACGAUGCCAGCGAGCAGGGAAGUGGAGGGAGCGGUCCAGCUGCUGGAAUAACUGGAGGCCAGAUCACGCUACUGCGGGGACCUAGAGGCGGCGAGACGGCGCUCUACCUCCCGCGGCGAGACGGGCCGGUGCCGAUUGGCGUGUUGCAGGGAAGCGGCGGGCAGAGUUAAGAGCUCUGCCCACCCGGGCACGCCAGAGCGGAGAACACUGAUAGGACGGCGAGGACGCCGCCGGGUUUCCCUCUUCUGCACCGCUUGCCUGGAUUUUUAAUUUUUAGUGACUUUUAUAUCGUGGCGGACGCCACUGGACUUUUAAUGUUGUGUUUUAUUGAUUUUUAUUGUGUUGUUCCCUGGCCAGGGUUGUUUUAAUUCAUUUUACAUUUUUAACUGUUUAAAUAUAAUAAAUUAUAUUUUAGUCAUACA